rnacentral:rRNA from 1 species
CUGGCUCAGGAUGAACGCUAGCUACAGGCUUAACACAUGCAAGUCGAGGGGCAGCAUGGUCUUAGCUUGCUAAGGCCGAUGGCGACCGGCGCACGGGUGAGUAACACGUAUCCAACCUGCCGUCUACUCUUGGACAGCCUUCUGAAAGGAAGAUUAAUACAAGAUGGCAUCAUGAGUCCGCAUGUUCACAUGAUUAAAGGUAUUCCGGUAGACGAUGGGGAUGCGUUCCAUUAGAUAGUAGGCGGGGUAACGGCCCACCUAGUCUUCGAUGGGUAGGGGUUCUGAGAGGAAGGUCCCCCACAUUGGAACUGAGACACGGUCCAAACUCCUACGGGAGGCAGCAGUGAGGAAUAUUGGUCAAUGGGCGAGAGCCUGAACCAGCCAAGUAGCGUGAAGGAUGACUGCCCUAUGGGUUGUAAACUUCUUUUAUAAAGGAAUAAAGUCGGGUAUGCAUACCCGUUUGCAUGUACUUUAUGAAUAAGGAUCGGCUAACUCCGUGCCAGCAGCCGCGGUAAUACGGAGGAUCCGAGCGUUAUCCGGAUUUAUUGGGUUUAAAGGGAGCGUAGAUGGAUGUUUAAGUCAGUUGUGAAAGUUUGCGGCUCAACCGUAAAAUUGCAGUUGAUACUGGAUAUCUUGAGUGCAGUUGAGGCAGGCGGAAUUCCCUGUGUAGCGGUGAAAUGCGUAGAGAUAGGGAGGAACACCAGUGGCGAAGGCGGCCUGCUGGGCUUUAACUGACGCUGAGGCACGAAAGCGUGGGUAGCAAACAGGAUUAGAUACCCUGGUAGUCCACGCCGUAAACGAUGAUUACUAGGUGUGGGGGGUCUGACCCCCUCCGUGCCGCAGUUAACACAAUAAGUAAUCCACCUGGGGAGUACGGCCGCAAGGUUGAAACUCAAAGGAAUUGACGGGGGCCCGCACAAGCGGUGGAGUAUGUGGUUUAAUUCGACGCAACGCGAAGAACCUUACCAGGUCUUGACAUUGAUCGCCAUUCACAGAAAUGUGAAGUUCUCCUUCGGGAGACGAGAAAACAGGUGGUGCACGGCUGUCGUCAGCUCGUGUCGUGAGAUGUUGGGUUAAGUCCCGCAACGAGCGCAACCCCUAUCUUAUGUUACCAGCACGUUAUGGUGGGGACUCAUGAGAGACCGCCGCGGACAACGCGGAGGAAGGUGGGGAUGACGUCAAGUCAUCAUGCCCCUUAUGACCUGUGCUACACACGUACUACAAUGGGAUGUACAGAGGGCAGCGAAGCCGCG